rnacentral:rRNA from 1 species
UUUGAACGCUGGCGGCAGGCCGAUCACAUGCAAGUCGAACGAGUGGCGGACGGGUGAGUAAUGUCUGGGAAACUGCCAGAUGGAGGGGGAUAACUACUGGAAACGGUAGCUAAUACCGCAUACCAUCGGAUGUGCCCAGAUGGGAUUAGCUAGUAGGUGGGGUAAAGGCUAACCUAGGCGACGAUCCCUAGCUGGUCUGAGAGGAUGACCAGCGAAACUGGAAAUGAGAAACGGGCCAGGCUAGUUCGGGAGGCGGUAGGGGGGAAUAUGGAACAAUGGGCGAAAGCCUGCUGAAGGCAAGCCGCGGGGAUGAGGCAGGAAUUAAGGUUGUAUAGUACUUACAGCGGGGAGGCGUUAGCCGCAGAAGAAGCCCCGGCUAACUCCGUGCUAGCAGCCGCGGUAAUAC